UCCACAGUGCCAACAUAACAGCCUGACCACUCAUCUCCUACUUCCUCUGUGGGGUGAACUUUCCAAAGACGACCACUGUAUUAAGACUCCGUCACCUGGCAAUGGCAACGACCACCAUCAAAAGACUUCGUCUCCAGGGAAUCAAAGACUCAAUGUGCUCAUAAGGUUUUGAAACUCCUUACGUAGAAUUGUGGAAAAUCCAGACUUAACAAAUUGACCCCUCAUCUCCUACUUCCUCUGCGGGAUGAACCUUCCAAAGACCACCACCUUGUUAGGAUUCAGUCACCUGGGAAUGGCAAUGACCACCAUCAAAAGACUUCGUCACCAGGGAAUCACAGACUCAAUGUGCUCCAUCCACAGUGCCAACAUAACAGCCUGACCACUCAUCCCCUACUUCCUCUGCGGGGUGAACUUUCCAAAGACGACCACUGUAUUAAGACUCCAUCACCUGGCAAUGGCAACGACCACCAUCAAAAGAUUUUGUCAACUGGCAAUGGCAACGACCACCAUAAGAGGACUCUGUCACCUGGUAAUUAGACUAAUUGUGAUUUGCAUUAAACCUUUAUUUUAUAUCAUUACAUUAAAAAUACACUAACACCAGAAUGUGACCUAUUAAAAGUUCAUAAGAUCCUGUUUAGCACAGGAUCAAAUGUACUGAUGAGAAAAAUGUUCUAGUAACGCUGCAAUGGGUGUGUUUGUAAAUACAAAUUUUGUGAAAUUACAAUGAUUUUCUAUAUUAUAUCUUUUAAGGAUAAAAAAAAUCUUGUGAUUUGUAAAAUUAAAAAAUAAAAGA